AGUGAACGCUGGCGGCAGGCCUAACACAUGCAAGUCGAACGGUAACAGGAAACAGCUUGCUGUUUAGCUGACGAGUGGCGGACGGGGGAGUAAUGUCCGGGGGAAUGCAUGAUUGAGGGGGAGAACAACUGGGAACGGUAGCUCAUACCGCAUAUCGUCGCAAGAGCAAAGAGGGGGGCCCCCUGGCCUCUUGCGCUCGGGUGUGCCCAGAUGGGAUUAGAUUGUUGGUGGGGUAACGGCUCACCAAGGCGACGAUCCCUAGCUGGUCUGAGAGGAUGAGCAGCCACACUGGAACUGAGACACGGUCCAGACUCCUACGGGAGGCAGCAGUGGGGAAUAUUGGACAAUGGGCGCAAGCCUGAUGCAGCCAUGCCGCGUGUAUGAAGAAGGCCUUCGGGUUGUAAAGUACUUUCAGCGGGGAGGAAGGGAGUAAAGUUAAUACCUUGCCUUAUUGACGUUACCCGCAGAAGAAGCACCGGCUAACUCCGUG
rnacentral:rRNA from 1 species